CAUAGCUCUUUAUUCCCUGUGCUCGGUGGCAAUGCUGAGAAUGGGUAUGAAGCAUCCUGUUUUGGACCCAAGACUGAUGAGAUGCUUCAAACCAGAAAUUCUUUACAAUUUGCAGGUUUGUGCUGUCUCAGUGUCUGGAUUUGAACCAACUCCCAAAAUGAAAUAUCAUCGAAAGCCUCAAACUUGACCCUCUUUUGCAUCAAACUGUGCGGUCAUGAGUUUUCUGUGAUUUUAAUGCAAACCAUAAACGGGCCCAACUUUGCACAAAAGAGUGCAAUGGCUCCCUGCAUGUUUGCAAGCCUUUCGACACACCUCUUCCAAGCUUCAAGGCUGUAAGUAACCUAGGACACACACUAACACCAUGGCAACUUGCCUAGGGUUUCAGCCGCUCUGUUGUGGUGGCACUGGGGCAGAAGGUGUGCCACUGUCAACUGAGUCACUUCACAGUGACACAGCUGUGAUGACACAAGAAUCUGGAGUAUUACUAGGUGAUUAUCACCAACUGCAGGGGACAGAAUCACUUUAUCUUUUCCUAAAGCCCCAGCAAAGUCUUUUGGCUGCAACUAGAUUGGAUCAGAUCAUUUCUUUUUAUAUGUUUCUAGCUGUAUUGCCAUGGUUUACUGUGCAAAUAACCCAGACUGUUUCCAGUCUGUAUAAUAUACUGUGCACAGACAUUUGGCGUUCUCAUGUUGCACCAUGGGAAGAGAGUCUUAUGUAUGUGCUUAAAGAUUUGAGACACAUGGUGAAACAAGAGGCCAGAUUUUGAAAGACAUCUAGGCACAUCCCAAUGUG